UCCAGUGGCUCAGUAAGAGCUUCAAACAAGCCGUCGGCCACUGCUGUCAGCCACUGCCGUGCUCUUGUGGGCCUGGUUUCUCUGCGGACCUGCCACUGUGGGGGCCUACCAAGAAGAUCCGACGAAACGCUCUGACCAUGCCUCUUAUCUGAGAGGGCACCUCCACAAUUGCAGGCGCCAUUGCUGAGACGUCUACAACUUCACUUCCAGGAUCUCAACUAACGUCCAUGCCCUGGGAAUACCACUACUACAGUCUCCUGCAUCCUUGGGCUUCUCCAUGUUUUCCUCAUUGUGAUGGAACAAAACAUCUAAACCUAUGAGCCAAAGGAAAGCUAUCAUGUCCCGUCAAGGAUUUUGUCUCAGGAACAAAACAGGAAAGAAAUACCAUCACCAAAUCUGCUGGAGACUAUAGAACUUUCUGAGCUGCGCUGGUGCCACCUCAACAACGUACAGAUCUAUGGCUUUAUAUUGUGUCAUAUCCAAGCUGAUUUAUGCCGUACACACCAAUGGCCGUGUGUACAUGUGUGAGUGCUGUUGCAGGGUGAGAGAUCAGCAGGGUUUCCCUUUCGUUACACACUAGGCUGUCAGGAAUUCCCGGCUGCUCACCAUCCAGUCCAGAUCCCAGCCCAUCUCCCACAGCUUUGGUCAUCCCACAAAAAUGACCUUUUUAACGUACCCUCACCUUCCUUGUGUCCCCAGCCCCUCUUUUACGGCUCCAUUGACCUCUUCGUUUGUACAAGAAGCUAUCCCUUAUGUUUCAAAACUUCAGUCUCUGAGUUCCUCAGAGUUUUUAUGACAUCAAGCUCUUGCUGUAUCCCGAUGUAACCUCCCUCCACAUCAGAAGCUGUAAAUUCAACAGUGAGCAGACUGCACCUGCAUGGCUCUUUGGGGGUUCUUGCUAGGUAUCUGUCCAUAUGGAAAUAAAAUUACUAGAAAAUGAAUGAUUCAA